rnacentral:rRNA from 1 species
AAUACCACCCUAUGCGGUGGAUCACUUGGCUCGCGAGUCGAUGAAGAGCGCAGCAAACUGCGUGAAUUAAUGUGAUUUGCAGGACACAUUGAUCAUCGAUAUCUUGAACGCAUAUUGCGGUUAUGGAUCGCUUCCAUGACCACGCCUGUCUGAGGGUCGGUAUUAA